rnacentral:tRNA from 1 species
UUGCUUAUAGCAUAGUAUAUGUAAUAAAUUGUAAAUUUAGUGACAGACACUUAAUUGUCUUAGGCGAA